rnacentral:rRNA from 1 species
AGUAGCCUUUCGAAAGGAAGAUAUACCNCAUAAGAUUGUAGUAUCGCAUGAUAUAGCAAUUAAAGGAGCAAUUCGCUAUAAGAUGGACCCGCGUCGCAUUAGCUAGUUGGUGAGGUAAUGGCUCACCAAGGCGACGAUGCGUAGCCGACCUGAGAGGGUGAUCGGCCACAUUGGGACUGAGACACGGCCCAGACUCCUACGGGAGGCAGCAUG